rnacentral:rRNA from 1 species
UACGUAGGGGGCAAGCGUUGUCCGGAAUCAUUGGGCGUAAAGGGCGUGUAGGCGGCUGGAUAAGUGGGAUGUUAAAUCCCCCGGCUCAACCGGGGACCUGCAUCUCAUACUGUUCAGCUCGAGCACAUCAGAGGAGACUGGAAUUCCCGGUGUAGCGGUGAAAUGCGCAGAUAUCAGGAGGAACACCGAUGGCGAAGGCAGGUCUCUGGGCCACUACUGACGCUGAGAAGCGAAAGCAUGGGGAGCGAACAGG